AUACGCAGAAGCCCACUGAGGUGGUUGGUUGUAAAAGAGUCUCCUUUUGGACAGUGGAGGAUGUGUAUGAGUGGGUUAAAGGACAAUACCCCUGCCACCAAGCAGCCUUCCUGCUAGCAAUUGAGAAUCAUGCAGUAUCAGGCCGGGCUCUGCUGAGGAUAAGUAAGAACACCCUGGAAAGGAUGGGAGUAGGGCCAGAACAGCACCCGGAGAUCCUUUAUGGCGUGCUGCACUUGAGACUGCAAGAAGAGGUGGAAAACCUGAAUGACAUAGUGUCUGCAUUUGCUAUCUAACUGUUUUUGGAGAUGUCAGAAGGAGCCCUCUGGUGCACUUGGAAGCCUUGUUCAAGAAACAGAAUUUGCCUGGAUUGAGAAAGGAGGGGCCCAGCCUGAGAUGAUACCAUUCAAAGAUAGAGAUACAGUAUUCAAAGGGUUAUAAAAGACCUACAGAACAGAUGCCACAAGAUUAAGGAAAAUAAAAAAGAAGAUCCAGUAUUUAUUAAGUUAGGAUUUAAUAGUAAUGAAUUUGUGCCAUUGAGUCCAGAAAAUUCAGACUGUUAUGACAGUUGUUUUAAUUUCAUAUUUUCAUUAUGUCUCUGUAAAGAAUUUUGGAACAACAUAGAAAAUACCACAGUGCUAUGAUAUUAAUUGACAUUGCCUUUUAAAUUAUGUCAUCCAGUCAUUCCCAACCAAUCCAUUAUUUUGGAUUUCAAGGCAAAUAGUUAAGACAGUCUAUCAGUUAAAUAACAAAAAAAAGUCACCAAUUAGAGUAAAUAUACUGUACAGUAUGUGUUCUCAAGUUGUUCACUGAUUUUACAAUAAUAAAAGGCCAUCUGAGACAAUUCUUUAUAUACCACUCUUGCUUACAUGUAGCAUGCAAUUCACCUGCUUCACAGACUGUGCCUUUUAACCUUGUAAUCACCUUUCUUUAUCUUUCAAAUCUUUUAAGUACUGUUGGAGUUAAAACUGUAAUAGUUGUAUGGUCACUUUCCGAGAAAUCCUAAAAACAUUUCUAUCAUAUCAAACAUCUCUGUUGACUCAAGAUUGUUUUUUUGUGAUUUUCACUUUUCCAAAGUCUAUUUUUUGAAUGACAUAUCUAUGCGGAUGUAAUUGAAAUUGCUUGAGAUGUACAUCACCAAUUUUGAUCGUUAUGAAGGUACUGUAACAAGUGAUGCUUCUCCUCAAUACAUUCUUCUUCCUCACAUUGUUAAAAGUCCAAAAAUACACAUCUGGCACUUGUGAUAAGCAAGUGAAAAUGAAGUAUUCAGGAUUUUCAGAACCUACUGUCAUGCCAAACAGGAAUGUUUCCACGUAUUACAAGUGUACUGUAUGUUAAGUUUAUUAAUAUUAUGCAGCAAUAACAAGUUGUUUUAUGGCUUCUAUGUUGACUUCUUUAUGAGCACCCACAUUUUGUACACACGUGCUAAAAAGGUCUAGAGCAGAAUGCUUUAGUUCCUUUGAAACUAAAAAACAUCUAGAGAACAUUGAUUAUAAGUUACUUGUUUGCAUACAGUGGCUAUUGAAAGUACUUACCCCCCUUAAACUUUUUCCAAUUUUACUGUAUAACAAUAUAGAAUCAUAAUGUAUUUAUUUGGGAUUUUUCACAAUUCAUCGACACAAAACACUCUACAGUAUAACGUCAAAGUGAAAACAAAAUUCUACAGAUCCUUCCAAAUUAUAAAUAAAAAAAAUAAGUUACUCAUUAGGUAUUCACCCCCUUUGCUCUGACACAACUAAAUAGGCUCUGGUGCAAGCAAAUGUGUUUAGAAGUCACAAAAUUUGUUGAAUGAGCAAUUAGGUUGUUUCUUAUGAGUUUAGGAUAAAUGUGCCUAUCCCUGGGAUGUCCCACAGUUGUUUAGUACAGCUCCCAACAUAAACUACAUCGUGAAGACAAAGGAACUUUCAAAGUAAAUCUGGGGCAGGGUUAUUAAAAAGCACCAAUAAGGAGAAGGGUAUAAGAAAAUUUCUAAGGCACUACAUACUGUACAAAGCAUAUUAAAGACUAUUAUAAAGUGUGGUAGUAGUUCAGGUGGGUAGCUGCGUCAGCAUGCGUAGGC